rnacentral:rRNA from 1 species
GAUGAACGCUGGCGGCGUGCUUAACACAUGCAAGUCGAACGGUGAAGGCGGAGCUUGCUCUGCUGGAUCAGUGGCGAACGGGUGAGUAACACGUGAGCAAUCUGCCCCUGACUCUGGGAUAAGCGCUGGAAACGGCGUCUAAUACUGGAUACGAGCUGCGCAGGCAUCUUCAGCAGCUGGAAAGAAUUUCGGUCAGGGAUGAGCUCGCGGCCUAUCAGCUUGUUGGUGAGGUAAUGGCUCACCAAGGCGUCGACGGGUAGCCGGCCUGAGAGGGUGACCGGCCACACUGGGACUGAGACACGGCCCAGACUCCUACGGGAGGCAGCAGUGGGGAAUAUUGCACAAUGGGCGAAAGCCUGAUGCAGCAACGCCGCGUGAGGGAAGAAGGCCUUCGGGUUGUAAACCUCUUUUAGCAGGGAAGAAGCGAAAGUGACGGUACCUGCAGAAAAAGCGCCGGCUAACUACGUG